rnacentral:rRNA from 1 species
UUAAGCGACUAAGCGUACACGGUGGAUGCCCUGGCAGUCAGAGGCGAUGAAGGACGUGCUAAUCUGCGAAAAGCGUCGGUAAGGUGAUAUGAACCGUUAUAGCCGGCGAUGUCCGAAUGGGGAAACCCAGUGCAAUUCGUUGCACUAUCGUUAACUGAAUACAUAGGUUAACGAGGCGAACCGGGGGAACUGAAACAUCUAAGUACCCCGAGGAAAAGAAAUCAACCGAGAUUCCCCCAGUAGCGGCGAGCGAACGGGGAGCAGCCCAGAGUCUGAAUCAGCUUGUGUGUUAGUGGAACGGUCUGGAAAGUCCGACGGUACAGGGUGAUAGUCCCGUACACCAAAAUGCACAGGCUGUGAACUCGAAGAGUAGGGCGGGACACGUGGUAUCCUGUCUGAAUAUGGGGGGACCAUCCUCCAAGGCUAAAUACUCCUGACUGACCGAUAGUGAACCAGUACCGUGAGGGAAAGGCGAAAAGAACCCCGGCGAGGGGAGUGAAAAAGAACCUGAAACCGUGUACGUACAAGCAGUGGGAGCACCUUCGGGUGUGACUGCGUACCUUUUGUAUAAUGGGUCAGCGACUUAUAUUCUGUAGCAAGGUUAACCGUAUAGGGGAGCCGCAGGGAAACCGAGUCUUAACUGGGCGUUAAGUUGCAGGGUAUAGACCCGAAACCCGGUGAUCUAGCCAUGGGCAGGUUGAAGGUUGGGUAACACUAACUGGAGGACCGAACCGACUAAUGUUGAAAAAUUAGCGGAUGACUUGUGGCUGGGGGUGAAAGGCCAAUCAAACCGGGAGAUAGCUGGUUCUCCCCGAAAGCUAUUUAGGUAGCGCCUCGUGAACUCAUCUUCGGGGGUAGAGCACUGUUUCGGCUAGGGGGUCAUCCCGACUUACCAACCCGAUGCAAACUACGAAUACCGAAGAAUGUUAUCACGGGAGACACACGGCGGGUGCUAACGUCCGUCGUGAAGAGGGAAACAACCCAGACCGCCAGCUAAGGUCCCAAAGUCAUGGUUAAGUGGGAAACGAUGUGGGAAGGCACAGACAGCCAGGAUGUUGGCUUAGAAGCAGCCAUCAUUUAAAGAAAGCGUAAUAGCUCACUGGUCGAGUCGGCCUGCGCGGAAGAUGUAACGGGGCUAAACCAUGCACCGAAGCUGCGGCAGCGACACUAUGUGUUGUUGGGUAGGGGAGCGUUCUGUAAGCCUGCGAAGGUGUGCUGUGAGGCAUGCUGGAGGUAUCAGAAGUGCGAAUGCUGACAUAAGUAACGAUAAAGCGGGUGAAAAGCCCGCUCGCCGGAAGACCAAGGGUUCCUGUCCAACGUUAAUCGGGGCAGGGUGAGUCGACCCCUAAGGCGAGGCCGAAAGGCGUAGUCGAUGGGAAACAGGUUAAUAUUCCUGUACUUGGUGUUACUGCGAAGGGGGGACGGAGAAGGCUAUGUUAGCCGGGCGACGGUUGUCCCGGUUUAAGCAUGUAGGCUGGUUAUCCAGGCAAAUCCGGAUAAUCAAGGCUGAGGUGUGAUGACGAGGCACUACGGUGCUGAAGUAACAAAUGCCCUGCUUCCAGGAAAAGCCUCUAAGCAUCAGGUAACAUUAAAUCGUACCCCAAACCGACACAGGUGGUCAGGUAGAGAAUACCAAGGCGCUUGAGAGAACUCGGGUGAAGGAACUAGGCAAAAUGGUGCCGUAACUUCGGGAGAAGGCACGCUGGUGUGUAGGUGAAGUCCCUGCGGAUGGAGCUGAGACCAGUCGAAGAUACCAGCUGGCUGCAACUGUUUAUUAAAAACACAGCACUGUGCAAACACGAAAGUGGACGUAUACGGUGUGACGCCUGCCCGGUGCCGGAAGGUUAAUUGAUGGGGUUAUCCGUAAGGAGAAGCUCUUGAUCGAAGCCCCGGUAAACGGCGGCCGUAACUAUAACGGUCCUAAGGUAGCGAAAUUCCUUGUCGGGUAAGUUCCGACCUGCACGAAUGGCGUAAUGAUGGCCAGGCUGUCUCCACCCGAGACUCAGUGAAAUUGAACUCGCUGUGAAGAUGCAGUGUACCCGCGGCAAGACGGAAAGACCCCGUGAACCUUUACUAUAGCUUGACACUGAACAUUGAGCCUUGAUGUGUAGGAUAGGUGGGAGGCUUUGAAGCGUGGACGCCAGUCUGCGUGGAGCCAACCUUGAAAUACCACCCUUUAAUGUUUGAUGUUCUAACGUUGGCCCCUGACCGGGGUUGCGGACAGUGUCUGGUGGGUAGUUUGACUGGGGCGGUCUCCUCCCAAAGCGUAACGGAGGAGCACGAAGGUUAGCUAAUCCUGGUCGGACAUCAGGAGGUUAGUGCAAUGGCAUAAGCUAGCUUGACUGCGAGCGUGACGGCGCGAGCAGGUGCGAAAGCAGGUCAUAGUGAUCCGGUGGUUCUGAAUGGAAGGGCCAUCGCUCAACGGAUAAAAGGUACUCCGGGGAUAACAGGCUGAUACCGCCCAAGAGUUCAUAUCGACGGCGGUGUUUGGCACCUCGAUGUCGGCUCAUCACAUCCUGGGGCUGAAGUAGGUCCCAAGGGUAUGGCUGUUCGCCAUUUAAAGUGGUACGCGAGCUGGGUUUAGAACGUCGUGAGACAGUUCGGUCCCUAUCUGCCGUGGGCGCUGGAGAAUUGAGGGGGGCUGCUCCUAGUACGAGAGGACCGGAGUGGACGCAUCACUGGUGUUCGGGUUGUCAUGCCAAUGGCACUGCCCGGUAGCUAAAUGCGGAAGAGAUAAGUGCUGAAAGCAUCUAAGCACGAAACUUGCCCCGAGAUGAGUUCUCCCUGAGACUUUAAGUCUCCUGAAGGAACGUUGAAGACGACGACGUUGAUAGGCCGGGUGUGUAAGCGCAGCGAUGCGUUGAGCUAACCGGUACUAAUGAACCGUGAGGCUUAACCU